rnacentral:rRNA from 1 species
GAGGAAUAUUGGUCAAUGGGCGAGAGCCUGAACCAGCCAUCCCGCGUGCAGGAUGACGGCCCUAUGGGUUGUAAACUGCUUUUUUGCUCCAAGAAACCUGAUUACGAGUAAUCAGUUGACGGUAGAGCAGGAAUAAGCAUCGGCUAACUCCGUGCCAGCAGCCGCGGUAAUACGGAGGAUGCAAGCGUUAUCCGGAUUCAUUGGGUUUAAAGGGUGCGCAGGUGGGAAUGUAAGUCAGUGGUGAAAUACUGCCGCUUAACGGUAGAGCUGCCAUUGAUACUGCGUUUCUUGAGUAUGGUUGAGGUAGGUGGAAUGUGUUGUGUAGCGGUGAAAUGCAUAGAUAUGACACAGAACGCCGAUUGCGAAGGCAACUUACUAAGCCAUUACUGACGCUGAGGCACGAAAGCGUGGGUAGCGAAC